AGCAACAUAUCUUUGGGGUGCAAGACGGGAGGUCUUGUAGAAAUGCAUACAGGAUACUGGAACACACGAAUUAACAGAAAUUCACCAUCCUCCUCCUCUAUUUUUUUCUAGACUAGAAGACACAUGGAACAGAGCAGAGGUGACCUACGUAAGGUCACACUUCUGGCUGGUGUCCUAAGAUUCAACCGAAUGCAGAGAACUCACUACCAUCAGGUCCCGUGAAGGUAACAUUCGAGACUACCCUUACUGUUUAGUGGUACUGCUUUGGGAGAAAUUUAUACCUGGAUUUACUAUAUGGAAAUGCUGUAUCCGAAAUCUAAAAUGUGAGUAGAAUCCUGCAAUCCAACACUGAGUAAGAACCAGGAGGAUAAAGAUGAAGAUGAAGAUAAAGUGAAAACACUAAACGACUUUGAAGUGACAGCCACUGGGGCUAAUGGGACAUGAGGAAAACAUCACUCUGCAUGAGAAGAAAGGAGAACCUUUUUAAGUACUGGAGAAGAAAUGCAACAAAACAGAAAAGAUCAGUGAAACUUGAAGCUUUUUUUUUUUAAAGAUUAAAGCGAACAAACUUUUACCUAGAUUAGUAAGAGGGAAGAGUCAAAUAAGCAAUUGACAUCAUAAAAUGAAGAAGACGUCACAGUUAGUACUGCAGAAUCACAAAGCCUAAGAGACUGGGGUGAGCAGGAUCUUCAACAAGCCGAACAACCUAGAAGAGAUGGACAGGUUCCUCAGAACGACAGCCUAACAGGAUGGAGCCACAGACAGAGACUGACGGAUUAGUAACCAGUGUGGAGAUGGAAGUAUCUCCAGGACCUCACCCCGGCUUCCCAAUGGUUCCCUGGUUCUUGUGAUCUCAACUGACCUAUUGUAGAUGCUAUAGGGAGGCAAGAUGGCGUCCAAAGCUGAUUAUGAAGGAGGAGGUUCAUCCUCAGCAACCUUCAAGCUUGCUCAUUUCUAAGUAGCAAACACUAUCAACAAUCAUGAAGUCUGGAGCUUAGAAGAAUGUGGUAAUGUGCAGGACUAGAAGGGAGGGAGCCCUGUUUCGAGGUUGCAUCCACACUUUUAAACUCUCCUGAAGUCUCUAUGAUAAGAGGAAUCUAACCGAAACGAUUGGCUUGCAAACAUCUCGGCACUACUAAGUACAACACACACAGGGCCAUUCUAUCAAAGCCUUGAGUUAGAGGUCCGCUCUGAGAACCAUGCUCUGCAGACCAUGCUCUGAGGACCACGCCCCGCUGUGAGAAAAACAGAGCCGACCUCACACCUUGGUACCUCCCCGUCUUCAAUAGAUUAAAAAGGACUGCAGCAAGAGCUUGCAAGCCUCUCUCUCACUUCCUCUCUCUUGCUCAGGAGAACUGUGAGAACUAACUGUUGAUCUGAAAGCAACCAUGAUUUGCUACAGAGGUGCGAGCUUGCACAGAGACCUGUGAAAUCCCACAGAACACAGGAAGUGUCUAAUUCCGCUGGAUCGGGCUGGUGUCAAGGCAGCUGACAGCUUCAGAGCCAAGAGCCUCCAGAAUCCUUUUUGGUAAGGAAUGUCAGCUACAAGGGGAAUCCCUACCUCACCAUCUACACAGAGUUCAAAGGAAAUGCAGAUUUAAUCAUUUGGUUUCUGUGUGACUUUCAAGUCAAAGUGAAACUAGAAUGUGAAUAUCAGAGCGUGUGAACCUUUUUGGUACGAAGCCUGGGUUCCCCUCUUACUGCUGCGGUGUGUAGAGGAUUGUGCAAUGUAAUAGCAGCAUCCAAGAUACACAGGGUCUCUGCUUCGACUCUCAAGAUGACUGCUGAUGCUCGGAGCUGAGCUGCAGAGUGCAGCAGCUCAUUGUUUGGGCCAGGAGUGUGCACGUGAAAAAUGACUCGCCGCACACUCUGCUUCCAUUCUGGUGCUCCGGGAAUGGAUUGACUUCAAAGAACUCUUUAAAAAUUAAAGUUAGGGGGACUGGAGAGAUGGCUCACUGGUUGAGAUUACUGACCGCUCUUCCAGAGGAGCCAGGUUCAAUUCCCAGCACCUAUAUGGCAGUUCAUAACUGUCUGUAACUCCAAGAUCUGACACCCUGAUGCAGACAUACAUGCAAACAAAACACCAAUGCACAUGAAAUAAAACUAAACUUAGAAUGCCACCUAGCAGUAGUGAAACUAAGUUCAAUCCCCAGAGCCAUUAAAUAAAUAUAAUGCAUGUAUAUGCAUAUAUACAUAUACAUAAUCUAUUUAUAAUUUAUAUUUCUCCAUUGGUGAACAAAAGUUAGAAUACAUGUUCAUUGUUAAAAAUAAGAAACAGAACACGGGUGAUGACCAACCUAAACAUCACCAGUGUGGUCUUACACAAAUAGGUUCCCUUUUCUUAUUUCAUUUAGAAACCCACUAAGCAAUUGGUGUAAUACUCCAUUUAGAGCAAGAACACCACAGAGUUGUCUCUGAUAUCCACAUAAAUGCUAUGACAUGCUUGCCUCCCUAUAUACACACAUCAUGUAUGUGUGUGUGUAAACACAUACACACACACACACACACACACACACACACACAGAGAGAGAGAGAGAGAGAGAGAGAGAGAGAGAGAGAGAGAGAGAGAUAUUAAAAAUAAAUCUAGUACCAGAACCUGAGUUUGAUCCCCCAAACCAUGUAAAAAAAAAAUCCAACCAUGUGAUGUAUGCUUGUAAUUCUAGCUCAGGGGAGGGAGAGCCAGGCAGACAGAUCCCUUUGUCUGAAGAAAGAAAGUGGAUGUCUCCAUGGAAGGACACCUGAAGUUAACCUCUGACCCCCACAGGCAUGCACAUGCAUAUGAACAUGUACCCACACACAUGAACAUACACAGGAAAACACUUCUCUUACGCCAUGCAUACCAUAAUUUGUAUAAAAUUCCACCAUAAAGGAGAGCUGGUUUCAGCUUCCUUUAUUAUAAACUAUACUGCAGCAACUAUAUGUGAAUACACAUUUUUUUCUGUUUAGCAUCAAUUUCGU
rnacentral:lncRNA from 1 species